rnacentral:lncRNA from 1 species
ACCCCACCCCACCUCCAGCUUGGGCUCUCCCAGGCUUAAGAGCCUGCCGGAGAAAAGGCACCUAAAUCUAAUGCUACACAGAGAAGCGGAGCCUCCAUCUUGCGCUGCUCCGCGUUCUCCAUUUUGGGCCACCCAUGGGGGGGGGGUCUCCGUAGAGGCCCCGAGGGAGAGUUGGGCGAGGGAAGGAAGAGAAAAUCUUCAGCGAGGGUAGUCGAAAAGAAGAGUCGUGCAGUAGAAAGCCACUCUAGGAGUAGGAGGUAGGGAGGAAGGGGGGCUGGAAGUUCCUUGGUAGUGUUGAGGUAGCCACUUGGGGGGAGAAGGCAGAAACAAGGGGUGGGGGUUACGCGGGGACGGGGAGGCUUCUCCCCGUCUUGACUUAGCCACCCGCUCCACGGCUGGCCCCUUUGGGGGCAAAGGGAGUAGGGGGGGAAUUAAACGGCAACAGAGUGCCCAUUCUCUUUCCCUCCCAACUCCUCUCUCGCGCCCUAUUUCAACCAUACACACCUCACAGUGGGCCCCGCGCCCUCCGGGUGCCCCUCCAAACUUCUAGAAGCUUCGCCUCCGCCAUUUUAUAACUUACCUCCCCCCUCAGCGUACACAGAGGCAGCAACGAGACUGUUCGCCUCCCCCACUCCUCCUUCCUUCUUUCUCAGGCCGGGGGCUUCUUCACCCCUGGGCUGGUACAAGAUAUUUUCCCCUUCCUCUUCUUUACACCCUCGAAUUCUACUCAGGGACGGAAGCUCCCGCGGUUCUAGAGCGGUGGGGGGUUUUGAAAGUGGCGGUCGGAUCCGGCGGGUUUUUUUUUUUUUCUUUUUUUUUUUUCUUUUUUUUUUUUUUUUUUUUUUUUUUUUGGUGGCGCUUCGGGAUUGUUUGGGGUGUUCGCUCUUCGGCGACUUGGAGGCGAAUGGAACGCGCAGGCGCCAUCUGUCGGCCACGAACCCGCGCCCGGCUCCCGUUGGGAGGGAGCGGCAUCUAGCGGCACAGCGCUGGCACUGCAGCGCUCGUCUCCCAGCGUCCUCCUCCCGGUCGCCGACCAAUCGCGGCCGACUGCCUCCCGGGUUCAGCGUCUCCGACGCCGCCUGCGAACGAGGCGCCCGCAGGGGCGCGCCGCCGAGUGGGGUAAACAAGGAACAGGAAUAAAUGUAUUUAGUAACAAGACAAAUUUUCCAAAUGAGGAGAAACGAAAGCCCUGUGUAAAUCGUGAAGAUUUCACCUGAUAUCACCUCGAAAGUAUUCCCAACGCAAUACAAUGAUUAAUCUCAGUCCUCAAAUUAUAUUCCUUCCACGCCUGCUUUAAGUUUCUCUCAUUCUCUGUGCUUACUGGGUUUUUUCCCUGCAACUUUAAAAAAGAGUUACGGCAUAUUUAAUCAACGGAACAAUAAAAGUUAAACAGAAACAUCUAAAUAUCA